UACGGGGGGGGCAAGCGUUGUUCGGAAUUACUGGGCGUAAAGGGUGCGUAGGCGGCUUUCUAAGUUGGAUGUGAAAACUAUGGGCUCAACCCAUAGCCUGCAUCCAAAACUGGAGAGCUUGGGUUCUGGAGGGGAAAGCGGAAUUCCUGGUGUAGCGGUGAAAUGCGUAGAUAUCCGGAGGAACACCGGUGGCGAAGGCGGCUUCCUGGACCGAUACUGACGCUGAGGCGCGAAAGCUAGGGGAGCAAACGGG
rnacentral:rRNA from 1 species